rnacentral:rRNA from 1 species
AGAGUUUGAUCAUGGCUCAGGGUUAACGCUGGCGGCGUGCCUAACACAUGCAAGUCGAACGGUUCUAAGCGCGAGCUUAGGAUAGUGGCGAACGGGUGAGUAAAAGGUAGGAAUCUACCCCUUGGACGGAGAUAGCUACUGGAAACGGUAGGUAAACUUCGAUAAGCCCGAGAGGGGAAAGUGGUGAGACAGCCGAGGGAUGAGCCUACUCUCCAUCAGGUAGUUGGUGAGAUAAAAGCUUACCAAGCCGAUGACGGAUAACCGGUGUGAGAGCAUGAACGGUCACAAGGGCACUGAGAGACGGGCCCUACUCCUACGGGAGGCAGCAGUGGGGAAUCUUGGACAAUGGGCGAAAGCCUGAUCCAGCGACGCCGCGUGGAGGAAGAAGGUCUUCGGAUCGUAAACCUUUGUCAUCGAGGACGAUAAUGACGGUACUCGAGGAGGAAGCCCCGGCUAACUACGUGCCAGCAGCCGCGGUAAU